ensembl:lncRNA
CGAGGCUAUAUGCAGGGGGUACCGGUACAGAGUCAAUGUGGAGGCUAUAUACAGGGUGUACCGGUACAGAGUCAAUGUGGAGGCUACAUACAGGGGGUACCGGUACAGAGUCAAUGUGGAGGCUAUAUACAGGGGGUACCGGUACAGAGUCAAUGUGGAGGCUAUAUACAGGGGGUUACGGUACAGAGUCAAUGUGGAGGCUAUAUACAGGGGGUAUCGGUACAGAGUCAAUGUGGAGGCUAUAUACAGGGGGUACCGGUACAGAGUCAAUGUGGAGGCUAUAUACAGGGGGUACCGGUACAGAGUCAAUGUGGAGGCUAUAUACAGGGUAUUACGGUACAGAGUCAAUGUGGAGGCUAUAUACAGGGGGUACCGGUACAGAGUCAAUGUGGAGACUAUAUACAGGGGGUACUGGUACAGAGUCAAUGUGGAGGCUAUAGACAGG